rnacentral:rRNA from 1 species
GACGAACGCUGGCGGCGUGCUUAACACAUGCAAGUCGAACGGUAAGGCCUUCGGGUACACGAGUGGCGAACGGGUGAGUAACACGUGGGUGAUCUGCCCCCUACUCGGGGAUAAGCCUGCGAAACUGGGUCUAAUACCGGAUAUGACCUCCUUCGGCAUGGUUGGUGGUGUAAAGGUUUGUCGGUAGGGGAUGAGCCCGAGGCCUAUCAGCUUGUUGGGGGGGUAAUGGCCUACCAAGGCGACGACGGUUAGCCGGCCUGGGAGGGGGACCGGCCACACUGGGACUGAGACACGGCCCAGACUCCUACGGGAGGCAGCAGUGGGGAAUAUUGCACAAUGGGCGAAAGCCUGAUGCAGCGACGCCGCGUGGGGGAUGACGGCCUUCGGGUUGUAAACCCCCUUCAGUCGGGACGAAGCGAGAGUGACGGUACCGAUAGAAGAAGCACCGGCCAACUACGUGCCAGCAGCCGCGGUAAAAC